CUUUGGCAGCUGAGCAGUUCCGCUCAGGGUUCCGUCGCUUAAAAAGUGGCAAAAUGCCGUUUGUAAGUAACCGGACGCACCACUUGGACUUCUGAGUAGAGGAAAAACGCAUUGAGACUCAGCUGUCCGAGCGGAAGGAGCGGGAGCCCAACUGGAAACUCCUCUCGCCAUUCAUUGCCCCUAGGCUUCCGCUUUGCUUCCUU
rnacentral:lncRNA from 1 species